GUGGGGAAUAUUGGGCAAUGGGGGAAACCCUGACCCAGCAACGCCGCGUGAAGGAAGAAGGCUUUCGGGUUGUAAACUUCUUUUAUGAGGGACGAAGAAGUGACGGUACCUCAUGAAUAAGCCACGGCUAACUACGUGCCAGCAGCCGCGGUAAUACGUAGGUGGCAAGCGUUGUCCGGAUUUACUGGGUGUAAAGGGCGCGUAGGCGGGAUAGCAAGUCAGGUGUGAAAUCCGGGGGCUUAACCCUCGAACUGCACUUGAAACUGUUAUUCUUGAGUGAUGGAGAGGCAAGCGCAAUUCCUAGUGUAGCGGUGAAAUGCGUAGAUAUUAGGAGGAACACCAGUGGCGAAGGCGGCUUGCUGGACAUUAACUGACGCUGAGGCGCGAAAGCGUGGGGAGCAAACAGGAUUAGAAACCCGGGUAGUCC
rnacentral:rRNA from 1 species